GCCUUCUAUUUCUAGUGGACCACAAGAUGGGACGAAGGAAAGCGUAAACUGCUCUUGGCGAUAUGCUGUGCCGCUUGUCUGCUUCUAUUCUUCGGCGCCCUGGCAACUGUCUUGAGCUCAAAGAAAGCCGAAGAUACGGGCGAUGACAGCACGGAGUCUGAAGAAUACUAUCCCCUGGUGCCCGAUGGUAAGGUCAGUCAGUCAACGCCGUCCUCUGCAAGUGAAGAGGCAACAACAAAAGUGACACGAAAGCCUCUGCCAUUUAGACCGUUGGUGUGCAGCUACAAGCGGGAUAUGAAAGUAGGGUACCCUUUCCCUCCCGACGGCCUCUGCGACUUCCUCUUUCACACAUUUGGAGUCUGUGACAAUGGCUUAAACUACAAGCAAUAUCACGAUGUCGUUGACGAGGACAGAGCUCUACUCGAUCAAUUUAAGGAGGCCGCCGCCAAGUCCAAGUUAACUUCGUACGGCAUUGAUAUAUACGACCACUUCGAUGUCACAACUAUCCCGUCGUUAAGAGCAAAGGAGGGCAAGGAUGCACUACGAGGACUCUGGGACUUCAAAAUAGUUCACUACGCCAUUUUGAAUUGCAUACUUUACAGUGCAGCUCAAACCUACUCCAAGGAUAUUGUCACGUUA